GCGGCCCGUGCCCGGCCGGCGCCGCUCGAGGAGCGCUGGCUUUAUCCCCCGCUCCGUGAGGACCAGCUCCGGGGCGCCGGCGCGGCGCAGCCCGGCCGAGGUGCCCGCCUCAGGCGUCGGCAGUGGCAGGAAAAAAGUGACACAUCACAGAUAACCAGCAGUCCCCCAUCCUGCUCUCAGAGUUGCUGCAGAGUAGACGGCCCUGCUGGCUGGGCUAACCAGGCUGCGGUGGGGAGUGGAUCCCAGCGCUGAGGCCUCCCGAGUGCUGAGACCUCCUGGCCACACACCUUGCUUUUGGCCACCUUCCAUGCGAUGGAGCAAUGUAGCUGAGUUGUGGGUUAACUUAGGCUUGCAUCACCACCCUGAACCAGAUUGCAUCUGCAGUCAUCUGGAACUGACUACAUGCCUGAACUGACAAAAAGAUGCUGCGGAAACGUGGAUCUCUGGGGCCUUGGCAAGCUGCUUAUGGGAAAUGGGAACAGACCUGCAAAGCUCGUGGGAAGACUGGGAUUAACCCUGAAAAGGGGGAUAUGCCUGUUGCCCAGGAACGUGUGAUGACCAUGCUUUUGCUGUAUCCUGUCUCUCUACUACCUGGUCCUCUGGAAGACAAAAGAGUGAGAAUCAGUGAUGUGUCGUUACCCUGCAAACAGCUUGAGAACUGCUUUGACAGCCAAUAGAAUAAAACAGUGCAGUGUGGCCACAGCAAGCGCGUGAUCUUUCUAACAAUUUACAGUUACACUAUGAUCCCAACGAGGAGUGAUGCUCAAACCUCCGUCCGAUUACCUGUGUUCUUUUCUCUUACUGUAACAACGUUGUUUCUUUCCAACAUGCACGUGUUCAUGCAAAAAUGCCAAGAUUCUCCAUGCAGAUUAAAGUAGGUUUACAAAUUAAGGAAAGGCUGGUAUGGAACAAAAGGGAAAUUAAAUUAUCCCAGCAAUUGUGCACUUCCUUGUAAUCAAGUCCUGUCUGUGGCAGAUGUUGUGUAGGAUACACACUCGAUGAGGCCUAUGAGAAUUUUCCUUGUGUAAAGACUGCAGGAGCUAGCCCUAGCAAAUCACACUAUCCUAAAAAUGGUGGCCAGUAAGCCAUAGAUGGGCUCUCUUGGGGAAAAAACCAGGAAGAAAACUUGGUGAGAGCUUGAUCCUCUGUGGUGUCACCUUUCACAAUUGAGUGAAUGACAAACAAAAGAAAAAAAAGGUGAGCUAAGUCACUGUGAGAUUGGAUGUCUCCUGUUGUGGAAUGGAAAGAAAUCCAGUGACAUGCUCCCUCCCAUUAGAUCUGAUACAAUUGCUGUAUGAUAAAGAUUAAUUUCUAAAAAUCAACUGUAAACCUAUAGGUCAGCCAAUAAGACAGUGACUUGACAAAUUUUUCAUUGCAAAGUGUAUGAUAGUUUCAUGCCUUUAAUCUGCAUCACUGCAGACAGUGUAUUGUUGAAUCCAGUGAAGUUUGAAUCCCACUAUGAAUUUGUUUUCCACAAAUAGAUUAUAAACAGAAACCUUUGAUUUCUAUUAAUUAUGUAUCUUUGAGUGAAAAGCUACUGUGUGUGUAUAUAUAUAUUUAAUAACAGGAAAUGUAACAAACAUUUAUUUUUGUUAAACUAAUAAAACAAAUAAACCUAUC